rnacentral:rRNA from 1 species
AUUGAACGCUGGCGGAAUGCUUUACACAUGCAAGUCGAGCGGCAGCGCGGGGGCAACCCUGGCGGCGAGCGGCGAACGGGUGAGUAAUACAUCGGAACGUACCCUGGUGUGGGGAUAGCCCGGCGAAAGCCGGAUUAAUACCGCAUACGACCUGAGGGGGAAAGCGGGGGAUUCGCAAGAACCUCGCGCACUUGGAGCGGCCGAUGUCGGAUUAGCUAGUUGGUGGGGUAAAGGCCCACCAAGGCGACGAUCCGUAGCGGGUCUGAGAGGACGGCCCGCCACACUGGAACUGAGACACGGUCCAGACUCCUACGGGAGGCAGCAGUGGGGAAUCUUGGACAAUGGGGGCAACCCUGAUCCAGCCAUUCCGCGUGAGUGAAGAAGGCCUUCGGGUUGUAAAGCUCUUUCGGCAGGAACGAAACGGUACGGGCUAAUACCUCGUGCUAAUGACGGUACCUGAAGAAGAAGCACCGGCUAACUACGUGCCAGCAGCCGCAGUAA